rnacentral:rRNA from 1 species
CCUACGGGGUGCAGCAGUGAGGAAUUUUGGUCAAUGGGCGGAAGCCUGAACCAGCCAAGUCGCGUGAGGGAUUAAGGCCCUGCGGGUCGUAAACCUCUUUUGCCGGGGAGCAGAGGUCCGGACGUGUCCGGGCCGGGAGAGUACCCGGAGAAAAAGCAUCGGCUAACUCCGUGCCAGCAGCCGCGGUAAUACGGGGGAUGCGAGCGUUAUCCGGAUUUAUUGGGUUUAAAGGUUCCGUAGUGGGGCAUUUAAGCCGGCGGUCAAAUGUCGGGGGUGAACCCCGGCCUGCCGUGGGAACUGGGUGGCUUGAGUGGGCGGGAAGUAGGCGGAAUGCGUGGUGUAGCGGUGAAAUGCAUAGAUAUCACGCAGAACCCCGAUUGCGAAGGCAGCAUGCCGGGGCCCUACUGACGCUGAGGCACGAAAGUGCGGGUAUCGAACAGGAUUAGAUACCCGUGUAGUC